rnacentral:rRNA from 1 species
GAUCGGCCACAUUGGAACUGAGACACGGUCCAAACUCCUACGGGAGGCAGCAGUGGGGAAUAUUGCACAAUGGGCGAAAGCCUGAUGCAGCAACGCCGCGUGAGGGAUGAAGGCCUUCGGGUCGUAAAACUCUGUCCUCAAGGAAGAUAAUGACGGUACUUGAGGAGGAAGCCCCGGCUAACUACGUGCCAGCAGCCGCGGUAAUACGUAGGGGGCUAGCGUUAUCCGGAUUUACUGGGCGUAAAGGGUGCGUAGGCGGUCUUUCAAGUCAGGAGUGAAAGGCUACGGCUCAACCGUAGUAAGCUCUUGAAACUGGGAGACUUGAGUGCAGGAGAGGAGAGUGGAAUUCCUAGUGUAGCGGUGAAAUGCGUAGAUAUUAGGAGGAACACCAGUUGCGAAGGCGGCUCUCUGGACUGUAACUGACGCUGAGGCACGAAAGCGUGGGGAGCAAACAGGAUUAGAUACCCUGGUAGUCCACGCUGUA